rnacentral:tRNA from 1 species
AGGUCAGCGGAAAUCCAGUACUGAGCAUCACUGUCCGGACAGCCGCUGGCGCGACUUUUAAUCCAUUGGUUCAGGGUUCGAAUCCCUGGGGGGCCACCA